rnacentral:tRNA from 1 species
GCGGGAGUAGCUCAGAUGGUAGAGCAUCAGCCUUCCAAGCUGAGGGUCGCGGGUUCGAAUCCCGUCUCCCGCUCAA